rfam:Enterococcus avium ATCC 14025 genomic scaffold acpMO-supercont1.1, whole genome shotgun sequence.
GGCAGACGGCCUGCCGAAACCGCCAUACAGGUGGAGGUUUCAAACCACCUUAAGGUGCUGUAGUCAAAAGCUAUGGUAUUGAGCGUUAAGGAAAAGGCAACCAAGAGUUGUCAGGU